AACGAACGCUGGCGGCAUGCCUAACACAUGCAAGUCGAACGAGACCUUCGGGUCUAGUGGCGCACGGGUGCGUAACGCGUGGGAACCUGCCCUUAGGUUCGGAAUAACUCCCCGAAAGGGGUGCUAAUACCGGAUAAUGUCUUCGGACCAAAGAUUUAUCGCCUUUGGAUGGGCCCGCGUUGGAUUAGCUAGUUGGUAGGGUAAAAGCCUACCAAGGCGACGAUCCAUAGCUGGUCUGAGAGGAUGAUCAGCCACACUGGGACUGAGACACGGCCCAGACUCCUACGGGAGGGAGCAGUGGGGAAUAUUGGACAAUGGGCGAAAGCGUAAUCCAGCAGUGCCGCGUGAGUGAUGAAGGCCUUAGGGUUGUAAAGCUCUUUUACCCGGGAUGAUAAUGACAGUACCGGGAGAAUAAGCUCCGGCUAACUACGUG
rnacentral:rRNA from 1 species